CCCUGUUCUUUUUCCUCCUGCUCCUUGAUCUAUAGUUUCAUUUUUUUUUUGUUUUUGUUCUCUAUCAUUCUUGACAUGUACAACAAAAACUGCCUACAACCAGACGGAGAGCAUAUGGAAAACGACUACAUUAGAUGGAAAAGACGGGGCAAGUACAUGAGAAUUCCUUGCUGAAUCCAGUCUUCUAACACCCGGGGGAUGUGUAAAAGAUGAGAGAGCUGAGGCCCAG